rnacentral:rRNA from 1 species
GACGAACGCUGGCGGCGUGCUUAACACAUGCAAGUCGAACGGAAAGGCCCUGCUUUUGUGGGGUGCUCGAGUGGCGAACGGGUGAGUAACACGUGAGUAACCUGCCCUUGACUUUGGGAUAACUUCAGGAAACUGGGGCUAAUACCGGAUAGGAGCUCCUGCUGCAUGGUGGGGGUUGGAAAGUUUCGGCGGUUGGGGAUGGACUCGCGGCUUAUCAGCUUGUUGGUGGGGUAGUGGCUUACCAAGGCUUUGACGGGUAGCCGGCCUGAGAGGGUGACCGGCCACAUUGGGACUGAGAUACGGCCCAGACUCCUACGGGAGGCAGCAGUGGGGAAUAUUGCACAAUGGGCGGAAGCGUGAUGCAGCAACGCCGCGUGCGGGAUGACGGCCUUCGGGUUGCAAACCGCUUUCGCCUGUGACGAAGCGUGAGUGACGGUAAUGGGUAAAGAAGCACCGGCUAACUACGUG